UGCCUUAAUGUUGCUGGGACCCAGGUAGAGUAGCUACUGCCUUAAUGUUGCUGGCCCCCAGGUAGAGUAGCUACUGCCUUAAUGUUGCUGGCCCCCAGGUAGAGUAGCUACUGCCUUAAUGUUGCUGGCCCCCAGGUAGAGUAGCUACUGCCUUAAUGUUGCUAGGACCCCAGGUAGAGUAGCUACUGCCUUAAUGUUGCUGGCCCCCAGGUAGAGUAGCUACUGCCUUAAUGUUGCUGGCCCCCAGGUAGAGUAGCUACUGCCUUAAUGUUGCUAGGACCCCAGGUAGAGUAGCUACUGCCUUAAUGUUGCUAGGACCCCAGGUAGAGUAGCUACUGCCUUAAUGUUGCUGGCCCCCAGGUAGAGUAGCUACUGCCUUAAUGUUGCUAGGACCCCAGGUAGAGUAGCUACUGCCUUAAUGUUGCUAGGACCCCAGGUAGAGUAGCUACUGCCUUAAUGUUGCUGGCCCCCAGGUAGAGUAGCUACUGCCUUAAUGUUGCUAGGACCCCAGGUAGAGUAGCUACUGCCUUAAUGUUGCUAGGACCCCAGGUAGAGUAGCUACUGCCUUAAUGUUGCUGGCCCCCAGGUAGAGUAGCUACUGCCUUAAUGUUGCUAGGACCCCAGGUAGAGUAGCUACUGCCUUAAUGUUGCUAGGACCCCAGGUAGAGUAGCUACUGCCUUAAUGUUGCUGGCCCCCAGGUAGAGUAGCUACUGCCUUAAUGUUGCUGGCCCCCAGGUAGAGUAGCUACUGCCUUAAUGUUGCUAGGACCCCAGGUAGAGUAGCUACUGCCUUAAUGUUGCUAGGACCCCAGGUAGAGUAGCUACUGCCUUAAUGUUGCUGGCCCCCAGGUAGAGUAGCUACUGCCUUAAUGUUGCUAGGACCCCAGGUAGAGUAGCUACUGCCUUAAUGUUGCUGGCCCCCAGGUAGAGUAGCUACUGCCUUAAUGUUGCUGGCCCCCAGGUAGAGUAGCUACUGCCUUAACAGCAGCUACUGGGGAACCAUAAUAAAUACAACUACAUUGGUGUCCGCAACAUGGCUGGUUUUCAUGUAAUCCAUGAUUGUCUAUAGAUCCUGCCACAUGUCUCGUCUGAACCGUUGAAUUGCGACUCCACUUCGUCUCUAUUCUGACGUUUUGUCUGUUGGACCGCCUUACGGAGGGAUUAACUACACCGUUUGUAUUCAACCAUGUUCCCCGACACCUUGCCAUGGUUUAAUGCGGUAGUUCUCACUUUCAGUUUUGCGCAAAUGCUGCCACCUCUCCACGGUUUCUGGUUAUCGUCGGUUCUAAUAGUCACAGUGAGAACAACAUCCUCUAUACACUUCCUGAUGAACUGUGUCUGUGUAAACGUCAAUGUUAUUCUCAGAGGCACAUAUCCCAGUCCGGUGAUCAAAAACAAUCUUGAAGCGUGGAUUCAGACUGGUCAGACCAGCGUUGAAUAGACCUUAGCUCGGGUACUUCCUUGUUCAGUUUCUGCCUAUAGGAAGGGAGGAGAAAAAUGGAGUUGUGAUCUGAUUUGCCAAAGGGAGGUCGGGGGAGGGGGGCAUCUUCAAAAGGGCGAGUAGCAGUGGUCUAGUGUUUUUUAUUUCUAAGCGAGUACUACAGUCAAUUUGUUGUUAGAACUUCGGUAGAAUUUUCCUCAAAUUUGCGUUGUUAAAAUGCCCAGCUACAAUAAAUGCGGCCGCAGGAUAUGUGGUUUCCAGUUUAGUUUGAGGGCCGUCGCUGUGUCAGCAUAAGGGGGAAUAUACACUGCUGUGACUAUAACAGAAUAGAAUUCUCCUGGGAGGUAAUAUGGUCUGCAUUUGAUUGUGAGGUAUUCUAAGUUAGGGGAACAAAAGGACUUGAGUUCCUGUAUGUUAUCACAAUCACACCAAGAGUAGUUAAUCAUGAAACAUACACCUCCACCUUUCUUCUUCACGGAGAGUUCUUUAUUCCUGUCUGUGCAAUGAACUGAGAACCCAGCUGGCUGUAUGGACCAGGACAGUAUAUCCAGAGAGAGCCAUGAUUCCGUGAAACAGAGUAUGUUACAGUCCCUGAUGUCUCUCUGGAAGGAGAUCCUCGUGCUGUAUGAACUGAGGAGCAAGGACAUUAGUUUAGAACACGUGUACUUUAUAGGGAGUAGGAUGACAUUUUACCUCUGGCUCUGGUCUCCUAACCUUCCCUCUCUGGCCCUGGUGUCCUAACCUUCCCUCUCUGGCCCUCAUCUCCUAACCUUCCCUCUCUGGCCCUCAUCUCCUAACCUUCCCUCUCUGGCCCUCAUCUCCUAACCUUCCCUCUCAGGCCCUCAUCUCCUAACCUUCCCUCUCUAGCCCCUCAUCUCCUAACCUUCCCUCUCAGGCCCUCAUCUCCUAACCUUCCCUCUCUGCUCCUGUCUCU